rnacentral:pre_miRNA from 1 species
AGCUUUUCGAAUUCGUGUAGAGAUUUUGUUAGACAUUAACCCAUUAGGGCUUACCAGACUUCCAAGAUAAGUGAAGUU